rnacentral:rRNA from 1 species
GACGAACGCUGGCGGCGUGCUUAACACAUGCAAGUCGAACGGACAGGCCCUGCUUUUGUGGGUUGCUCGAGUGCCGCACGCGUGAGUAACACGUGAGUAACCUGCCCUUGUCUUUGGGAUAUCUUCAGGAAACUGGGGCUCUUACCGGAUAUGAUCUCCUGCUGCAUGUUGUUGGUUGGAAAAUUUCGGCUGUUGUGUCUGGACUCGCGGCUUCUCCGCUUCUUGGUGUGGUAGGGGCUUACCAAGGUUGUGACGGGUAGCCGGCCUGAGAGGGUGAACGGGCACAUUGGGACUGAGAGACGGAGCAGACGGCUACGGGAGGCAACAGUGGGGAAUAUUGCAGAAUGGGCGGAAGUCAGAUGCAGAAACGCCGCGAGCGGGAUGACGGCUUUCGGGUUGUAAACCGAUGUGGAAGGUGAUGAAGCGUGAGUGACGGUAAUGGGUAAAGAAGCAACGGCUAACUACGUG